AUAUCUCUCUGUACGGGAAGGAUGAGAAGCUUCGACCAAGGUUCGAUUCGAGCGCAGCGAGAAAGCGUUGCCGCAAGCAACGACCCGAAGGGCGAAGCGCGCAGCGCUGAGUCAUCCUUCCCCCACCACCA
rnacentral:sRNA from 6 species